rnacentral:rRNA from 1 species
GCGGCAACAGCUCAAAUUUGAAAUCCGUCUCCCUCUGGGGAGUCAGAGUUGUAAUUUGCAGAGGGUGCUUUGGCGUUGGUGGCGGUCUAAGUUCCUUGGAACAGGACAUCGCAGAGGGUGAGAAUCCCGUUUGUGGUCGCUUGCCUUCGCCGUGUAAAGCCCCUUCGACGAGUCGAGUUGUUUGGGAAUGCAGCUCUAAAUGGGAGGUAAAUUUCUUCUAAAGCUAAAUACUGGCCAGAGACCGAUAGCGCACAAGUAGAGUGAUCGAAAGAUGAAAAGCACUUUGGAAAGAGAGUCAAACAGCACGUGAAAUUGUUGAAAGGGAAGCGCUUGCAGCCAGACUUGCCCGUAGUUGCUCACCUAGGCUUUUGCCUGGGGCAUUCUUCUGCGGGCAGGCCAGCAUCAGUUUGGGCGGUCGGAUAAAGGCCUCUGUCACGUAUCUUCCUUCGGGAUGACCUUAUAGGGGAGGCGUCAUGCGACCAGCCCGGACUGAGGUCCGCGCUUCUGCUAGGAUGCUGGCGUAAUGGCUGUAAGCGGCCCGUCUUGAAACACGGACCAAGGAGUCUAACAUCUAUGCGAGUGUUUGGGUGUCAAGCCCGAGCGCGUAAUGAAAGUGAACGGAGGUGGGAACCCUCGGGUGCACCAUCGACCGAUCCUGAAGUCUUCGGAUGGAUUUGAGUAAGAGCAUAGCUGUUGGGACCCGAAAGAUGGUGAACUAUGCUUGAAUAGGGUGAAGCCAGAGGAAACUCUGGUGGAGGCUCGCAGCGGUUCUGAC